rnacentral:SRP_RNA from 1 species
CCGUGCUAGACGGGGAGGUAGCGGUGCCCUGUAACUCGCAAUCCGCUCCAGCGAGGUUUAACCCCUUCUUUAGGUUAGGUAUUCUGUAGGGACUGUCUUAAAAAAGUAAUGUUGACGUUUUGGUCCUACGCAAUGAGACUCCAUGAACCAUGUCAGGUCCGGAAGGAAGCAGCAUUAAAUGGAUACUCUCAUGUGCCGUAGGGUUGCCUGAACUGAGUUAACUGUUUAAGCAACGCUUAUGGAUGCCAAUCAACAGAAGGUGCACGG